GAGUUGUUGGAUCUGAAAAUAAAAAUUUCGAAAUUAAUUAUAUCAUCACGGAGAAAAAUAAUUAGUAAAUACAACCAAUUAUUAGUUGAUUUCAAACAAAACAUUAGUAUGAAUUUUGCACACACAAAAUUUAACUUUGUAUCAAUCAAAUGCAUUGUUAAAAACAAACUAAGAUUUGAUGUUGUUUGUACCAAUAUAUUCUAGACAAAUAAUUAUUGUAAUUUUCACGAAGGAUUCGACUUUCAUGACGAAAUUGUGAAGCUGCCAAUAAUGAACCGAUGGUACAUUUUCAAACACCAUUCACCUUUCAUCCUUGAUUUCAGUCCCUACCAGCUGGUUUUAAGACGAGAGCACGAUCAGCUGGAGCACGAGAACAAUGACGAUGACUGUAAACAUCAGAAGGCCAGCUGGUUUUGUUGUGUAAACAUGACCAGCUGGUGAGUC